CCUACGGGUGGCAGCAGUGGGGAAUAUUGCACAAUGGGGGAAACCCUGAUGCAGCGACGCCGCGUGAGUGAAGAAGUAUCUCGGUACGUAAAGCUCUAUCAGCAGGGAAGAAAAUGACGGUACCUGAGUAAGAUGCCCCGGCUAACUACGUGCCAGCAGCCGCGGUAAUACGUAGGGGGCAAGCGUUAUCCGGAUUUACUGGGUGUAAAGGGAGCGUAGACGGCGGGACAAGUCUGGAGUGAAAUCACGGGGCUUAACCCCGGAACUGCAUUUGAAACUGUGCGGCUGGAGUGCAGGAGGGGUAAGCGGAAUUCCUAGUGUAGCGGUGAAAGGCGUAGAUAUUAGGAGGAACACCGGUGGCGAAGGCGGCUUACUGGACUGUAACUGACGUUGAGGCUCGAAAGCGUGGGGAGCAAACAGGAUUAGAUACCCCUGUAGUC
rnacentral:rRNA from 1 species